rnacentral:rRNA from 1 species
ACGGCCGCAAGGUUAAAACUCAAAUGAAUUGACGGGGGCCCGCACAAGCGGUGGAGCAUGUGGUUUAAUUCGAUGCAACGCGAAGAACCUUACCUGGUCUUGACAUCCACGGAAGUUUUCAGAGAUGAGAAUGUGCCUUCGGGAACCGUGAGACAGGUGCUGCAUGGCUGUCGUCAGCUCGUGUUGUGAAAUGUUGGGUUAAGUCCCGCAACGAGCGCAACCCUUAUCCUUUGUUGCCAGCGGUCCGGCCGGGAACUCAAAGGAGACUGCCAGUGAUAAACUGGAGGAAGGUGGGGAUGACGUCAAGUCAUCAUGGCCCUUACGACCAGGGCUACACACGUGCUACAAUGGCGCAUACAAAGAGAAGCGACCUCGCGAGAGCAAGCGGACCUCAUAAAGUGCGUCGUAGUCCGGAUUGGAGUCUGCAACUCGACUCCAUGAAGUCGGAAUCGCUAGUAAUCGUGGAUCAGAAUGCCACGGUGAAUACGUUCCCGGGCCUUGUACACACCGCCCGUCAC